rnacentral:rRNA from 1 species
CCUACGAGUGGCAGCAGUCGAGAAUCAUUCACAAUGGGGGAAACCCUGAUGGUGCGACGCCGCGUGGGGGAAUGAAGGUCUUCGGAUUGUAAACCCCUGUCAUGUGGGCGCAAAUUAAAAAGAUAGUACCACAAGAGGAAGAGACGGCUAACUCUGGUCCAGCAGCCGCGGUAAUACAGAGCGCUCAAGCGUUGUUCGGAAUCACUGGGCGUAAAGCGUGCGUAGGCUGUUUCGUAAGUCGUGUGUGAAAGGCGCGGGCUCAACCCGCGGACGGCACAUGAUACUACGAGACUAGAGUGAUGGAGGGGGAGCCGGAAGUCGCGGUGUAGCAGUGAAAUGCGUAGAUAUCGAGAGGAACACUCGUGGCGAAGGCGGGUUCCUGGACAUUAACUGACGCUGAGGCACGAAGGCCAGGGGAGCGAAAGGGAUUAGAUACCCGAGUAGUC